rnacentral:rRNA from 1 species
GAUGAACGCUGGCGGCGUGCCUAAUACAUGCAAGUCGAGCGAACAGACGAGGAGCUUGCUCCUCUGACGUUAGCGGCGGACGGGUGAGUAACACGUGGAUAACCUACCUAUAAGACUGGGAUAACUUCGGGAAACCGGAGCUAAUACCGGAUAAUAUAUUGAACCGCAUGGUUCAAUAGUGAAAGACGGUUUUGCUGUCACUUAUAGAUGGAUCCGCGCCGCAUUAGCUAGUUGGUAAGGUAACGGCUUACCAAGGCGACGAUGCGUAGCCGACCUGAGAGGGGGGUCGGCACAACUGAAACUAGACACGGGGCCAGACCCCAAGGGGGGGAGCAGGGGGGAAAAUUUCACAAAGGGGGGAAGGCCUGACGGGGCAACGCGGGGGGGGUGAAAAGGGUUUUCGGUUCGUAAACCUUUUUUAUUGGGAAAAAAAAAAUGUGUAAGUAACUAUGCAGGUUUGAAGGGAACCAAAUAAGAAGCCCAGGCUAAAUUAGUG